CUAAGUUGGGCUGAGGCCCGUAGUGCAUCUUCUCUCUGGGAUGAAGUUACUAUUCUUCGAUCCCAGCUUCGAUCCCAGGCUCAGGUGAGGCAUGGAAUCCUAGGUGACUGAGGCACUAAGGCAGGCUGUGCAGGGCCUGCUGGAAGAGCGAGAGCAGCAGAAGUACCAGAUCUCUGCCCUAGAAGCAUCACUAAGGUUGCUGCAGGGGUGUCCAGAGCAAAGGGUCCUUCUCCUGGAGCAACGCCUGGAGGGGC